CCUACGGGAGGCAGCAGUGAGGAAUAUUGGUCAAUGGACGAGAGUCUGAACCAGCCAAGUAGCGUGAAGGAUGACUGCCCUAUGGGUUGUAAACUUCUUUUAUCUGGGAAUAAAAUGUUCCACGUGUGGGAUUUUGUAUGUACCCUAUGAAUAAGGAUCGGCUAACUCCGUGCCAGCAGCCGCGGUAAUACGGAGGAUCCGAGCGUUAUACGGAUUUAUUGGGUGUAAAGGGAGCGUAGGUGGAUUGUUAAGUCAGUUGUGAAAGUUUGCGGCUCAACCGUAAAAUUGCAGUUGAAACUGGCAGUCUUGAGUACAGUAGAGGUAGGCGGAAUUCGUGGUGUAGCGGUGAAAUGCUUAGAUAUCACGAAGAACUCCGAUUGCGAAGGCAGUUCACUGGACUGCAACUGACACUGAGGCUCGAAAGUGUGGGUAUCAAACAGGAUUAGAUACCCCAGUAGUC
rnacentral:rRNA from 1 species